rnacentral:rRNA from 1 species
GAUGAACGCUGGCGGCGUGCCUAAUACAUGCGAGUCGAGCGAACGGACGAGAAGCUUGCUUCUCUGAUGUUAGCGGCGGACGGGUGAGUAACACGUGGAUAACCUACCUAUAAUACUGGGAUAACUUCGGGAAACCGGAGCUAAUACCGUAUAAUAUUUUGAACCGCAUGGUUCAAAAGUGAAAGACGGUCUUGCUGUCACUUCUAGAUGGAUCCCGGCUGCAUUAGCUAGUUGGUAAGGUAACGGCUUACCAAGGCAACGUUGCAUAGCCGACCUGAGAGGGGGAUCGGCCACCCGGGAACGGGGACACGGUCCAGAGUCCUGCGGGAGGCAGCAGUAGGGAACCUGCCGCAAUGGGCGAGAGCCUGACGGAGCAGCGCCGCGUGAGAGAUGAAGGCCUUCGGAUCGUAAAACUCUGUUAUGAGGGAAGAACAUAUGUGUAAGUAACUGUGCACAUCGUGACGGUACCUAAUCAGGAAGCCCCGGCUAACUACGUG